UAGGGAAUCUUCCACAAUGGGCGCAAGCCUGAUGGAGCAACGCCGCGUGAGUGAAGAAGGUUUUCGGAUCGUAAAACUCUGUUGGUAGAGAAGAACGUUGGUGAGAGUGGAAAGCUCAUCAAGUGACGGUAACUACCCAGAAAGGGACGGCUAACUACGUGCCAA
rnacentral:rRNA from 1 species